rnacentral:rRNA from 1 species
GAUGAACGCUGGCGGCGUGCUUAACACAUGCAAGUCAAACGAAGCACUUUUCUUGCUUGCAAGAAAAGUGACUGAGUGGCGGACGGGUGAGUAACGCGUGGGUAACCUGCCUUAUACAGGGGGAUAACAGUUGGAAACGACUGCUAAUACCGCAUAAGCGCACAGUGCCGCAUGGUACAGUGUGAAAAACUCCGGUGGUAUAAGAUGGACCCGCGUCUGAUUAGCUAGUUGGUGAGGUAAUGGCUCACCAAGGCGACGAUCAGUAGCCGGCUUGAGAGAGUGAUCGGCCACAUUGGGACUGAGACACGGCCCAAACUCCUACGGGAGGCAGCAGUGGGGAAUAUUGCACAAUGGGGGAAACCCUGAUGCAGCAACGCCGCGUGAGUGAAGAAGUAUUUCGGUAUGUAAAGCUCUAUCAGCAGGGAAGAUAAUGACGGUACCUGACUAAGAAGCCCCGGCUAACUACGUGCCAGCAGCCGCCGCCGUAA